rfam:Marine metagenome 1096626563512, whole genome shotgun sequence.
CGCUGGCAGAGGUAACUUUGCCAGUGAUUAAGCAGAAGUCAGCAGACGGCAUAGAGCC